GGGGGCGAGUUGGUUUUCGACGAGGGCGCGAAGACCUGGUUGCGUGUCCGGGGUCCCGGCUACCCGGUUAUCAAUGGACGGGAAAUCACAAACGCCAACGACAACGCGUUUGCUCUCGCGGCCUAAAAAGCUGUGAGCGGUCGCUCCAGAGCCUGCCCGUGGCGCUGGAUCUGCGAUUGCCAUUCAAGACGGGCUGGUUCCCGACGGUACCCAGACGUCGGGGGCGAGAUCCCCUGGGUUCGGUGCGGCGCAUCCUGACCGUGGGAGACUCCGUCAUCUAAAUCAAAGCACGGAAGCUACGCACGUAGACGCCAGUGAUUGGAGAGCUUUCGGACCGGGGUUCGACCCCCCGCGCCUCCACCA
rnacentral:tmRNA from 1 species